UACAGAGGUCCCGAGCGUUGUUCGGAUUCACUGGGCGUAAAGGGUGCGCAGGUGGGUUUGCAAGUUCGAUGUGAAAGCCCCCGGGCUUAACCCGGGAAUGGCAUUGGAUACUGCAGAUCUGGAGGAUCGGAGGGGGGACUGGAAUUCUUGGUGUAGCAGUGAAAUGCGUAGAUAUCAAGAGGAACACCAGUGGCGAAGGCGAGUCCCUGGACGAUACCUGACACUGAGGCACGAAAGCUAGGGGAGCAAACAGG
rnacentral:rRNA from 1 species